rnacentral:lncRNA from 1 species
UCCAUCCUGCUGAAAAACCAAGAUGAUCUUGAUAAAGCAAUUGACAUUUUGGAUAGAAGCUCAAGCAUGAAAAGCCUUAGGAUAUUGCUGUUGUCCCAGGACAGAAACCAUAACAGUUCCUCUCCCCACUCUGGGGUGUCCAGACAGGUGCGGAUCAAGGCUUCCCAGUCCGCAGGGGAUAUAAAUACUAUCUACCAGCCCCCCGAGCCCAGAAGCAGGCACCUCUCUGUCAGCUCCCAGAACCCUGGCCGAAGCUCACCUCCCCCUGGCUAUGUUCCUGAGCGGCAGCAGCACAUUGCCCGGCAGGGGUCCUACACCAGCAUCAACAGUGAGGGGGAGUUCAUCCCAGAGACCAGCGAGCAGUGCGUGAGUAUAGGGGGGCUGGGAUAUGCCUGUGGCCUGUAUCAGCAGACCAAGGUCAUAACAAGGGGUUCUCAGUAGUCACAGUGCAGAAGUG